ensembl:lncRNA
GCCAUGAUCAGACAGGUCACUAGACUUGACAAAAACUUACAAGCUAUUUUUUUAAUGAAAGAUUGUUAGCUAGUUAUAUCAGAUCCUAAUAGUAGUAAAUUGAACCCUAUAAAAUCUACACCUGAUUACUUCAUCCAGCUUGUAGCCAGUACCAGUACCCAUUGACUAAUGUAAUGGAUUGUUGUGCAGCAAAUCCCAUCAUUGGGGCGUUAUCAAGUUUUGACCAUUUUUGAUAUUCUGAAGCUCAAAUUGCUCACCUCAAACAUUUGUGGUGAUCCUGCACCAACUGAAUAUUAAUAUAACUGGGCAUCAGCCCAUCAACCUCAAAGCCGGGGUGCACUGACCAGUUUGGUCUCCUGUCUGCCAGUGUGUUUGAGAAUGUAAAAACUCUCCUUGGCUCCAGUACUCCGCUCUUAACUCCCAAUGUGUUACUUAAAGUCACCAGAGUUUACUCUAAAACUCAGCUUACCCGUGUGGAUAAUGCAAAUUUUUUAUAUAUAUAUAUAUAUUUAAAAAUUCACUUAAAUUCCAACAGUUCAUAUAGUCAACAGUAUGAUGUGUAAAUAAGGAGAAGUCAGCAAGAACGACGAUACAACUUCACACAUUUCAUCACUUUAUUGUAGGACACACUUAUUUCAGCACUUUAACAUCAGAAUAAAAGGAACAUGUAGUAUUGUAGGGAUUUAGUGCACAGUCAGUACACAGUUUACUAGAAUUAUUCUAACACACCAGAAGGUUCCUGUGCAAAAGUCUACCUGAGUGUUCCAUCAGCAUGUACCUGUCCUGAUUUACCCGUCCUGCUCCUGAAAAACAUUAACAUGUCAUUAAUAUGUGAAUAGGAGACCACGUUUCACUUUUCACCACAGGAACAAACUGCAACUUCUCUACAGUUUAGAGAUUAUAUAAAAUGUUCAUGUUCUCCACAUGUGAGAUCGUCUGAAAGCUGAGACUCUACAGUUUCUCUGUGUUUUAGUCGUGUGUUUGUGUGUGUGUGUGUAAGAUCAAAUCCCUUCAUGCUGUAAAGAGAGAAAGAGGACACGAGUGAACCUGACCAUGCUGAAACUCGCAGGCGAUGCUCACGGCCCCGAAGAGUUAACACACCUUUCAACUGUGUGUGUGU